GUUAAUCGAGUUAUUCGAAUCAACUCGAAUUUUUUUUUCAAAUUUCGAUUUCGAAUCGAGUUGAGUUUUCGAAUUCGAAUAACUCGAAUAAUUCGAAUAAUUCGAAUAUCAAACUAUAAUAUUUUACAUUUUUAGCCCAAACUCCCAUACCCUUUUACUUUUCCCUCAAAACUUUUACUCCUUCCUACUUUCCCCCCAAAACUUUUAUUCCCCUCCCCUCCCAACCCCCCAAUCUACCCAAAAUCCAUUUCCCACCAAAAUUUUACUCUCCCAUUUAUUUUUUCUCAAAAUUUUACUCCCAAAAACCCUCAAAACAUUUUAUUUUCCCCCAAAAUUUUUACUUCCUCCCACUUUUCCCCUAAAACUUUUAUUCCCUUCCCAUCCCACCUCCCAUCUAUCCCAAACCCUACCCCUCUAAUUUUUUUUUUAAUAUUUUCCCUCCAAACUAUUUACUUUCCCUCAAACUUUUAUUCUCCAAAACUUUUUAUUUUUCCCCUAAACUUUUUACUUCUCACCCUUUACUCUUAAAUAAAAAAUCAAAAUUAUCCAAAAAAAAGCACUAAAC
rnacentral:lncRNA from 1 species